rnacentral:rRNA from 1 species
GAGCAUGUACUUCCUUCUAGUGUCUAUUUAUUUUUUAUUGGCAUUCGUGGAUUGAUCACCAGAUGAAACAUGGUUAGAGCUGUAAUAUGUCUUGAAUUUACACUAUAUUCAAUUAAUCUAAAUCUCGUAACGUUUUGCGGUAUGUUUAGUUUGUGCUAA